rnacentral:rRNA from 1 species
CCCCUGGACAAAGACUGACGCUCAGGUGCGAAAGCGUGGGGAGCAAACAGGUUAGAUACCUGGUAGUCCACGAGUAAACGAUGUCGAUUUAGAGGUGGUGUUCUUGAACCGUGGCUUCUGGAGAUAACGCGUUAAAUCGACCGCCUGGGGAGUACGGCCGCAAGGUUAAAACUCAAAUGAAUUGACGGGGGCCCGCACAAGCGGUGGAGCAUGUGGUUAAUUCGAUGCAACGCGAAGAACCUUACAUACUCUUGACAUCCAGCGAAUCCUUUAGAGAUAGAGGAGUGCUUUCGGGAACGAUGAGACAGGUGCUGCAUGGCGGUCGUCAGCUCGUGUUGUGAAAUGUUGGGUUAAGUCCCGCAACGAGCGCAACCCUUAUCCUUUGUUGCCAGCACGUGAUGGUGGGAACUCAAAGGAGACCGCCGGUGAUAAACCGGAGGAAGGUGGGGAUGACGUCAAGUCAUCAUGGCCCUUACGAGUAGGGCUACACACGUGCUACAAUGGCAGAUACAAAGAGAAGAGACCUCGCGAGAGCAAGCGGAACUCAUAAAGUCUGUCGUAGUCCGGAUUGGAGUCUGCAACUCGACUCCAUGAAGUGGAAUCGCUAGUAAUCGUAGAUCAGAAUGCUACGGUGAAUACGUUCCCGGGCCUUGUACACACCGCCCGUCACACC